GAUGAACGCUGGCGGCGUGCCUAAUACAUGCAAGUCGAGCGAAUGGAUUAAGAGCUUGCUCUUAUGAAGUUAGCGGCGGACGGGUGAGUAACACGUGGGUAACCUGCCCAUAAGACUGGGAUAACUCCGGGAAACCGGGGCUAAUACCGGAUAACAUUUUGAACCGCAUGGUUCGAAAUUGAACGGCGGCUUCCGCUGUCACUUAGGGUAGGACCCGCGUCGCAUUAGCUAGUUGGUGAGGUAACGGCUAAACAAGGCAACGAUGCGUAGCCGACCUGAGAGGGUGAUCGGCCACACUGGGACUGAGACACGGCCCAGACUCCUACGGGAGGCAGCAGUAGGGAAUCUUCCGCAAUGGACGAAAGUCUGACGGAGCAACGCCGCGUGAGUGAUGAAGGCUUUCGGGUCGUAAAACUCUGUUGUUAGGGAAGAACAAGUGCUAGUUGAAUAAGCUGGCACCUUGACGGUACCUAACCAGAAAGCCACGGCUAGCUACGUGCCAGCAGCCGCGGUAA
rnacentral:rRNA from 1 species